AAUGAAUAAUGAAGGGUGAAUUAGGAAAAGACGCUCAAUUGAUAUCCAUAGUGUCGGGCUCGGGUAUAAAAAGGGCUCGGCCCUUCGCGCGCUAGGCAGUCUCUCGUCAGUCUCUAAGCAGUCUCUUGCCCCACAAAGGCAUCAACGUUAUAUCCACAUCGAAUCCGCGUAAUUUACGUGGACUACGAGGAUGGACAUUUAUCGAAAUAUCGACGUGAAUCUAACGUUCUUUUGUCAUCGAUAAAUCGAAGCAUUUCAUCCUCGAAAUAUCAAUAUAGAUUCUACGUAGAUAUUUCGAAAUAUUCCUGCGAAAACAUACGUCGAAAUAAAGAAAGAUGUUCUAUUUUUAAUGAUAUAAUCUAUAAGUAUGUGAUUGCUCUGGAACUUUAAAAACCCUGUAUAAAAUUAAUCAAUCAAGGCAUAUUGUUAAUCGCAAUGUCACUUUUGAGAGGUAAUGAAAUAUACGAAUAUUUGGAUCUCCAUAUAUAUUACAGAUAAGAUAAUUUUGUAUUGUAAAAAACAAUUUUAUUCUAUAGAAGAAAGAAACAGUGAUAUAGAUUAUAAUAAUUAUAGAAUAAAACAAUAUUAAAAUAAUUUUAUAUUUAUUAUAUUUGAUUUAUAUGUUACAUGGUUUUCUUUACACACAAACAUUCAAUUCGAUACUAUACUAAAACAAUAUUUCAGAAUGGGGCAUUGGAAAACAGACGCUUUUUGAUAUAAUUGUAUUAUCUUCCGCAUUCUUUUCAGGGAAGGGUAAUAAUACAAUUUUCCUUUUAACAUCAUCUAAGCACCACCUGUGUAAAAGUCCAAGAGUGCUAACUAUAUAUAUGUUUAUAAGACUUGAUGAAAAUGGAUACGAAAAGAGAUUAGAUUUUUCUUCAAAUUUUCUGCCAAUUAAAUAAUUUCUUUCCGUACAUUUUAUAAUUUUUUCAAUCUUAAGCACCUCAUUGGGUUUUGUAAGGCAAUAUGCAUCAGCAGACUGUACAUGAAAAAAUGUAUUUAACAUUCGAACUUUCUUAUAUUGUUGUCCUUGACAGUUUAAAGUUGGCCCUGUAUUAUGAUGCUUUUCAAAUAAUAAUUCAUUUUUUGUAGCAGAGAAAUGAUGAAGCAUGGCUGCUUUUUCCAUCACACGACAAACUAUUUGAGGAAGUGUCUUCCCUGGUGCAUGCAAAUAGUUUUUCAUACAUCCCAAAAAAAUUUCAAAUUUAAAAGCACUAAAUUCUUCUAGAUGUCCAUGUAACAGACAAUCCGCAGCAAGGUGUAUUAAAUGAUGGACGUUAUAUACGACAAAAGUUUGGCCAUAAAUUUUACAACUGUGUUCUACAAACAACCGAAGUAAUUUGUCAGCAUCAACGAUAUAAUCUUUAACUAAUAGAGGGUCAACUAAAAUUCGAACAGCACUAGCAAAUAAAAGAAAAUUUUUAUAUA